GAUGAACGCUGGCGGCGUGCCUAAUACAUGCAAGUCGAGCGAACGGACGAGAAGCUUGCUUCUCUGAUGUUAGCGGCGGACGGGUGAGUAACACGUGGAUAACCUACCUAUAAGACUGGGAUAACUUCGGGAAACCGUAGCUAAUACCGGAUAAUAUUUUGAACCGCAUGGUUCAAAAGUGAAAGACGGUCUUGCUGUCACUUAUAGAUGGAUCCGCGCUGCAUUAGCUAGUUGGUAAGGUAACGGCUUACCAAGGCAACGAUGCAUAGCCGACCUGAGAGGGUGAUCGGCCACACUGGAACUGAGACACGGUCCAGACUCCUACGGGAGGCAGCAGUAGGGACUCUUCCGCAAUGGGCGAAAGCCUGACGGAGCAACGCCGCGUGAGUGAUGAAGGUCUUCGGAUCGUAAAACUCUGUUAUUAGGGAAGAACAUAUGUGUAAGUAACUGUGCACACCUUGACGGUACCUAAUCAGAAAGCCACGGCUAACUACGUG
rnacentral:rRNA from 1 species